GUGGCCCUGCUGGCGCGGUCCGGCUCUCGCGCGGAGGCGAGCGCGCAGCGCCAUGGGCACGCGCGGGCCCUACCCGCUGGUGGACACCACGCCGGCCAAGACCAUCCUGGUGUACCGCAACGGGGACCAGUUCUACGUGGGCCGCAAGUUCGUGUUCUCGCGGCGCCACGUGGCCAACUUCGAGGUGCUGCUGGAGCAGCUGACAGCGCAGGUGGACGUGCCGUUCGGCGUGCGGCGCCUCUACACGCCCACGCGCGGCCACUCGGUGCACGAGCUGGACGCGCUGCAGACGGGCGGCAAGUACGUGGCGGCGGGCCGCGAGCGCUUCAAGAAGCUCGACUAUAUCCAUAUAGUUCCCAGAAAGCCCUCCAAGAUGAGGAAGUUGAAGGAAAUAAAGCCAGUGGUGCACUGUGACAUGAAUGUGCCUUCCAGGUGGCAGUCCUAUCACCGCCUUUCCCGAAAUAUUAAUGUUUUCACAAAUGGAAGAAUAUUUAUUCCACCCGUAAAAAUUAUUAUACCCAAAUUCAGCCUGACAGACUGGAAUAGCGUGCUGGCCACGAUUGGAGAAAAAGUCUUCCCUUGGGGAGGUGUUCGAAAAUUAUUUACUUUGGAUGGACAUCUUCUGGACAACUCACAGGACUUGCAAGACAGUCAAUUCUAUGUUGCUGCAGGACUGGAGAAUUUCAAAAGCUUUCCAUACUGGAGGUCCCCAAACGUUCCCAUCGAGGUCCAAGAAAAGUACUCAGACAUGGAAAGACGCCUGCAGAAAAAGAAGAAGGUGACUUCUAAAGAAAAAGAGCCUCCUAGAGAUGAGAGCGUACCACCUAGAACUCAGGAUUCUGUUUACUACGCCAAACAAGGAAAGAAGAAACCGCCGGCAGACCCUCUGGUCCAAAUGGGCACAGCAUCUGACAAGAAGUUCAUCAAGAAUAAAGAAGUGGCUCAGUUUCCUGAAAAAGAACAAUAUGCAAUUCUAGAGGAAAAAAAUACACCUGCACUACUAGAAAUUCCAGUAGAAAUAGAAGCUCAAAGAGAACCACAAAUGGGACAAGAUUCACAAAAUGAAUUAUCAUCAAGUCAAGAAGAACCAACAACAGAGCAACAAGAGUCCUCUGAAGAGUCACCCAUGGGACAACCAUCCCAAGAAUCAAUACCUGAGAAACGAGAGUCCUCUGAACAACCAUCCCAAGAAUCAAUACCUGAGAAACAAGAGUCCUCUGAACAACCAUCCCAAGAAUCAAUACCUGAGAAACAAGAGUCCUCUGAACAGUCGCCCUUGGGACAACCAUCCCAAGAGAGAAUUCCUGAGAAACACGAGUCCUCUCAAGAGACCUCCUUGGGACAACCAUCCCAAGAGCCAACACCUGAGAAACACGAGUCCUCUGAACAGGUACCUUUGGAACAAUAAUCUCAAAAAGACAUGAAUAAGAGACAAGAAAUCAGACAAACACCUAAAACAAAAUAUCAUCCAUGUUGUGAAGAGCAAAAGCCAGAACCUGGCUGAAGGAUUGCAAGACACAUGAAAAUAAGAGUUGAUGCCUUUCACAUUGUGCUGAAGAGAUGCCCUGGGAGUGGGAGCCAGUGAGCCAACCAGCACACCUUUACAUCAAUGUGAAACCCAUCUGCCUUCAACCCUGGGGCUCCCAUCUCACAAACGGACACUCUAAUAGCAAGAAAAUCCUCUCUGCGUGAAGCUGAGGCCCCCAGAGCUGAGUCUUCUCUAAAAGCUGGGGCUGGGACUCCCCUGAGUUCAUUUUCUAAUUUCCUUUCUUGGUGAUAUUCUUUUAAAUAAACAUUUAAGAGAA